rnacentral:ncRNA from 1 species
UUCCUAUACAGAUGUAUCAACACAAGAUAGUUGGGCAUCUCCCUGUAGGACGAAGUUUAUCAGAAACUCUGAUAAUAAGUCUUGUUGUGUGGCUACGGUCGAAACAGGGUGAGUCAGAGCGGAGUAGGUUAGCCGUAAGACCUUGAGUUGAAAAACUCUAAAAUUGAGCUAGAGGUAUGGUUUCUGAAAUUCCGUAUUUUCUAGUUACGGCAGU